rnacentral:lncRNA from 1 species
CAGAGAGCGCGGAGAGACGCAGAACGCAGCCAGCUCCUCCAGGGCCCUCCAGGCCCUCCGGACCCGGGCCGGCGGGUGAACUGGGGGGCCCCGGGACAGGCCGAGGCCUCUGCCCUGCAGAUACCGGAGGCCUCUGCUGUGGCUGCCCACUGGCUGUGCCCAGGCCUUGAAGCCGCAGCGAACCUCUCUUUCCCACCCCACCUGGAUGACUGAUGGCGGCGGCUGCGUCUCCCCGACGGGACCCCGCCGGCCGCCGCGUCUCCCGACCCAAGCCUGCCGGGCCUCGACGAAACCCCCGCAGAGUCGCUGGGACGCAGCGCCUUUGGGCGGCGCCGGGCGUGGUGGGCCGGAAAGUAUGGCGGCCGCUUGAACGCCGCGCGGCGGAGGCCAUUAAGGCGUGGAGGGCCCGGGAAGGCGGCCUAGGGACGCAAGCAGGCUCGGCCACCUCUUUAGGCCACGGAGCCGCGCAGAUCCGGUUCCCGGGUGACCACUCUGUCGCCAUUGGGCGAGACCGACCUAGUCCUGACGACAACGGACAAAGGCCUUCAGGGGCCUGGAAGGGAUAUGAUAUUGAAGCACGUGACAAGUUGGUGAUUUCAGCAAUGGUUUCUCCUGUCUAUAGAAACUCUUCAGCAGAUGGCAAUUUUCCACCUUCCUGUAUAAAACCAGAAUCCUCUCACCUGGCAGAAAUCUUUCUCUCCAGAUGCUGCAAAGCCAGCACAGAUCAUCUUCUCUGUGAUCCCUCCUGGAUGGGCAGAAUAAAAGAAGAGGGGCUGAAGCGGAUGCUGCUUGAUAUCAUUUACAUGACCUAUUUUCAAAAAUAACAACUGGCAUUAAUGUUUAUGCAACAAAAAUAUGCUUACCUGCACUGAUGCUUCCCCAUCCGGUCACAGCACAGAUCUCCGAGGAAAAUAGAGGCUCUGCGCUGUGUGGGAGACAUACUGGCCUCACCACCGAGUUGUACUCCAGAGGAGAGCUUAGUUGUAUUAGGGCAAUGUCAGAGUCAUAACUUAGUGUGUUAAAGUCUUCAUGCACUAUUAUGUGUUUGGCCCUUCUCACCUGUAUCGGUGGCAAGUAAGCAAAUUACAACGUAAGAAAGUCAAAGAAUCCAGCAACUUCCUUGUUGAUGGUCCAAAAUAAUCCUAAAUUUCUGCACUUACAUACAUAAACAAUGCAGAAGACUUUCUAUUAAAUUUAAAAGAGCAAUAUUGGUUUACAAUUUGCAGGGGGCUAUGAACCACCUUCUGGAUAAAGGUGGUGCUGGAGAAAUAAAGCUUUGAAAACCUGAAAAAAA